UACGAAGGGGGGCUAGCGUUGCUCGGAUUGACUGGGCGUAAAGGGCGCGUAGGCGGUUCGUACAGUCAGACGUGAAAUCCUGGGCUCAACCUGGGGGCUGCGUUUGAUACGUGCGGACUUGAGUGCGGAAGAGGGUCGUGGAAUUCCCAGUGUAGAGGUGAAAUUCGUAGAUAUUGGGAAGAACACCGGUGGCGAAGGCGGCGACCUGGUCCGAUACUGACGCUGAGGCGCGAAAGCGUGGGGAGCAAACAGG
rnacentral:rRNA from 1 species